UCUCCGUAGGUGAACCUGCGGAGGGAUCAUUACUGAGUGAGGGCCUUCGGGCUCGACCUCCCACCCUUUGUGAACCCAUCUUGUUGCUUCGGGGGCGACCCUGCCGGCACUCUGUCGCCGGGCGCCCCCGAAGGUCUCCAAACACUGCAUCUUUGCGUCGGAGUUUAAAACACAUUAAACACAACUUUCAACAACGGAUCUCUUGGUUCUGGCAUCGAUGAAGAACGCAGC
rnacentral:misc_RNA from 1 species